UACGUAGGGGGGCAAGCGUUGUCCGGAUUUAUUGGGCGUAAAGGGCGCGUAGGCGGGAGCGUAAAGUCAGAUGUGAAAUCCCGGGGCUCAACCCCCGGAACGGCAUUUGAAACUGAGCUUCUAGAGGGUAGGCGGAGAAAAUGGAAUUCCACAAGUAGCGGUGAAAUGCGUAGAUAUGUGGAAGAACACCGGUGGCGAAGGCGGUUUUCUAGCUUAAACCUGACGCUGAGGCGCGAAGGCCAGGGGAGCAAACGGA
rnacentral:rRNA from 1 species